AUAUGAACCGUUAUAACCGGCGAUUUCCGAAUGGGGAAACCCAGUGUGAUUCGUCACACUAUCAUUAACUGAAUCCAUAGGUUAAUGAGGCGAACCGGGGGAACUGAAACAUCUAAGUACCCCGAGGAAAAGAAAUCAACCGAGAUUCCCCCAGUAGCGGCGAGCGAACGGGGAGCAGCCCAGAGCCUGAAUCAGCAUGUGUGUUAGUGGAAGCGUCUGGAAAGGCGCGCGAUACAGGGUGACAGCCCCGUACACAAAAAUGCACAUACUGUGAGCUCGAUGAGUAGGGCGGGACACGUGGUAUCCUGUCUGAAUAUGGGGGGACCAUCCUCCAAGGCUAAAUACUCCUGACUGACCGAUAGUGAACCAGUACCGUGAGGGAAAGGCGAAAAGAACCCCGGCGAGGGGAGUGAAAAAGAACCUGAAACCGUGUACGUACAAGCAGUGGGAGCACGCUUAGGCGUGUGACUGCGUACCUUUUGUAUAAUGGGUCAGCGACUUAUAUUCUGUAGCAAGGUUAACCGAAUAGGGGAGCCGAAGGGAAACCGAGUCUUAACUGGGCGUUAAGUUGCAGGGUAUAGACCCGAAACCCGGUGAUCUAGCCAUGGGCAGGUUGAAGGUUGGGUAACACUAACUGGAGGACCGAACCGACUAAUGUUGAAAAAUUAGCGGAUGACUUGUGGCUGGGGGUGAAAGGCCAAUCAAACCGGGAGAUAGCUGGUUCUCCCCGAAAGCUAUUUAGGUAGCGCCUCGUGAAUUCAUCUCCGGGGGUAGAGCACUGUUUCGGCAAGGGGGUCAUCCCGACUUACCAACCCGAUGCAAACUGCGAAUACCGGAGAAUGUUAUCACGGGAGACACACGGCGGGUGCUAACGUCCGUCGUGAAGAGGGAAACAACCCAGACCGCCAGCUAAGGUCCCAAAGUCAUGGUUAAGUGGGAAACGAUGUGGGAAGGCCCAGACAGCCAGGAUGUUGGCUUAGAAGCAGCCAUCAUUUAAAGAAAGCGUAAUAGCUCACUGGUCGAGUCGGCCUGCGCGGAAGAUGUAACGGGGCUAAACCAUGCACCGAAGCUGCGGCAGCGACGCUGAUGCGUUGUUGGGUAGGGGAGCGUUCUGUAAGCCUGUGAAGGUGUACUGUGAGGUAUGCUGGAGGUAUCAGAAGUGCGAAUGCUGACAUAAGUAACGAUAAAGCGGGUGAAAAGCCCGCUCGCCGGAAGACCAAGGGUUCCUGUCCAACGUUAAUCGGGGCAGGGUGAGUCGACCCCUAAGGCGAGGCCGAAAGGCGUAGUCGAUGGGAAACAGGUUAAUAUUCCUGUACUUGGUGUUACUGCGAAGGGGGGACGGAGAAGGCUAUGUUGGCCGGGCGACGGUUGUCCCGGUUUAAGCGUGUAGGCUGGUUUUCCAGGCAAAUCCGGAAAAUCAAGGCUGAGGCGUGAUGACGAGGCACUACGGUGCUGAAGCAACAAAUGCCCUGCUUCCAGGAAAAGCCUCUAAGCAUCAGGUAACAUCAAAUCGUACCCCAAACCGACACAGGUGGUCAGGUAGAGAAUACCAAGGCGCUUGAGAGAACUCGGGUGAAGGAACUAGGCAAAAUGGUGCCGUAACUUCGGGAGAAGGCACGCUGAUAUGUAGGUGAAGCGACUUGCUCGUGGAGCUGAAAUCAGUCGAAGAUACCAGCUGGCUGCAACUGUUUAUUAAAAACACAGCACUGUGCAAACACGAAAGUGGACGUAUACGGUGUGACGCCUGCCCGGUGCCGGAAGGUUAAUUGAUGGGGUCAGCGCAAGCGAAGCUCUUGAUCGAAGCCCCGGUAAACGGCGGCCGUAACUAUAACGGUCCUAAGGUAGCGAAAUUCCUUGUCGGGUAAGUUCCGACCUGCACGAAUGGCGUAAUGAUGGCCAGGCUGUCUCCACCCGAGACUCAGUGAAAUUGAACUCGCUGUGAAGAUGCAGUGUACCCGCGGCAAGACGGAAAGACCCCGUGAACCUUUACUAUAGCUUGACACUGAACAUUGAGCCUUGAUGUGUAGGAUAGGUGGGAGGCUUUGAAGUGUGGACGCCAGUCUGCAUGGAGCCGACCUUGAAAUACCACCCUUUAAUGUUUGAUGUUCUAACGUUGACCCGUAAUCCGGGUUGCGGACAGUGUCUGGUGGGUAGUUUGACUGGGGCGGUCUCCUCCUAAAGAGUAACGGAGGAGCACGAAGGUUGGCUAAUCCUGGUCGGACAUCAGGAGGUUAGUGCAAUGGCAUAAGCCAGCUUGACUGCGAGCGUGACGGCGCGAGCAGGUGCGAAAGCAGGUCAUAGUGAUCCGGUGGUUCUGAAUGGAAGGGCCAUCGCUCAACGGAUAAAAGGUACUCCGGGGAUAACAGGCUGAUACCGCCCAAGAGUUCAUAUCGACGGCGGUGUUUGGCACCUCGAUGUCGGCUCAUCACAUCCUGGGGCUGAAGUAGGUCCCAAGGGUAUGGCUGUUCGCCAUUUAAAGUGGUACGCGAGCUGGGUUUAGAACGUCGUGAGACAGUUCGGUCCCUAUCUGCCGUGGGCGCUGGAGAACUGAGGGGGGCUGCUCCUAGUACGAGAGGACCGGAGUGGACGCAUCACUGGUGUUCGGGUUGUCAUGCCAAUGGCACUGCCCGGUAGCUAAAUGCGGAAGAGAUAAGUGCUGAAAGCAUCUAAGCACGAAACUUGCCCCGAGAUGAGUUCUCCCUGACUCCUUGAGAGUCCUGAAGGAACGUUGAAGACGACGACGUUGAUAGGCCGGGUGUGUAAGCGCAGCGAUGCGUUGAGCUAACCGGUACUAAUGAACCGUGAGGCUUAACCUUACAACGCCGAAGCUGUU
rnacentral:rRNA from 1 species